UACGUAGGGAGCAAGCGUUGUCCGGAAUCAUUGGGCGUAAAGCGCGCGUAGGCGGCCCUGUAAGUCCGCUGUGAAAGUCAAAGGCUCAACCUUUGAAAGCCGGUGGAUACUGCAGGGCUAGAGUCCGGAAGAGGCGAGUGGAAUUCCUGGUGUAGCGGUGGAAUGCGCAGAUAUCAGGAAGAACACCUAUGGCGAAGGCAGCUCUCUGGGACGGUACUGACGCUGAGACGCGAAAGCGUGGGGAGCGAACAGG
rnacentral:rRNA from 1 species